UCUCAGUUUGGACAUAAUGCUUCUCAGUGACUUGGUCUUCUUUCCUUCCAAACAUAUUUCUGCCAUAUUUUCAACAGAAUUUUCUGGUAUACUAAAAGCUUUCUUAUUUAACAAUAUAGAAAUCAAUUACUCUUUUUUUCCCUUUAUUGUUGCAAUAAAAAAUCUUGAUCUGAUGGACAACUUCACAAAGUUAUGAAUGUUUUGAAUGGAAAAACCAGAAUCCCUUUGAUUUUAUUAAUACACAUGUCUCAAAAUUUAAUACUUAUCCCUAGUGCUAGAGAAACAGCCAUCAUAAAAGAAUUAUAGUUAAAAUUUCACUAAAGCUCUUAUACAAAUUAUAGUCAGACAAAAUAUUAUAAUGAUAAUAAAUUAAGGGACAAUAUUGGAUUUGCAUAUUUUUCCCUUUGAAAUGUGAAGAUUUAUGCUUCACAGUUCUUUUGACAAUAUCUGGCAAUAUUAUUUGUUUUUAGAAGUAGUUGGGGGUUCACAAUUUCUAAUUCUACAUUCCCAACAUUUACUGUUUUGGAGUGUGUAUUGAAAUCAGUAACUGUAAAGUACCCACAGGAAAAAGGAGAAACGUGAAGUCCCUUACAUUUUAAGCAGUGUACUGUAACCUGGUAAGUUCUGUGCCUUAGGAGACAAUUGUCUCAAUCACAAUUGUCUCAAUCCUUAACUUAAAGAGGACUUGUGAUUCUAUUGAAGCACAUAUGUAUUACUUACAUCCUGCAUCCUGCACAGAGCACUGGACCCGAACAAUGUCUAACACAUAAGAGGAUCUCAAUAUUUAUUAGAUGAGUGAGCUCUGACUGAUUAAUGGAAGUAUUAUAAAUGUGAUUUUUGUAUGUGGGGUGGUGGUGGUGGUAUGGUUUUUAGAUGGGAGAGACUCAUUCAUGCAUUAUCAAGUAGAGAAAAGUUUGUAAAUGAAGUGUUAAGUGGCAAAGGCUUUGAAGGAAAAGGUUAUCAGGAAUUCAGAACUCAAACUUGGGUGUGAAUGGUCAAUAAGUCCAUGCAGUGUUAACUAUCAUUUAAUGCCUUCUUUGGGAAAAUUUAUUUGUAGAAGUCUACUGUUACCACAAGAUGCCUUAGAUAAAUAUGAAUUACUGGAAAAGAAAAAGUAAACAAGUAGCAAGCAGUGCUCAAUAAGUAAACAAUGCUUAAUUACAUCUUCCAAAAAGGUUAGGAUUAGUAAAUAUUGAGUUCACAUGUUCUCCCUUAAGACUUCACAUAUCUAGCAAUUUUGCUAUACUUGUAGGAAAUAUCUUGCAUGAGGAGACAGGAAAUUUUAAAUUAUAUAGACAAUUCCAUUUAGUUAUUAAUAGGUUGUGUUCUAGAAGUUCAUUUGAAAGUUAAUUUUUUGGAGUUUUAACCUAUUUUCCUCUGGAAGCAACGUGAGAAAUAGGACUUAGAUUCCCAGGGUGCUAAAAGGUGUCAUGGCUUGCCCAAUAAAUUUAAUGUAAAAGCAAGUGCUCUGGGGUAAGAAAGAGCAAGAUUCAAAUUCCAGUUCUCUAAAUGUUAGUUUCCUCCUCUAUAAAAUGGUGCUAAUUACAGGCCUCACUUCACUGAGUCCGUGUGGAUUAAAUGGGGAUAAUAGAUUAUUAAGUACAGUGCAUGCCUCUAAGCAAAUAUUGCUCAAUAGAAAAGAAGACAUUGUUAUCUACCACUGUAAUAAAUUCUAGCAAAAUACAGAUUCUCAAUGUAUUUAUGAUGUCAUUAUUAUAUCCCAUUCCUUUUGGGAGCCUGGACAUUGGUAAUGUCGAAAAAUUAUCCAUGUAAUUCUGGGGCCUCUAUGCCUUUCUUCGUGCUCUUUUCCCUAUACUUUUUUUCCAAGUCCCAGCUCAAAUGUUACCUCCCCUGAAAAGACUUUCUCCUGCUCUGGAGCCAACAGUAAUGAGGAAAAACACAAAUGCUAAGCAGACCUAGUUAUAGAACCAGAAGAGGCCAGUGGAUUUGUGAGCUUGCCUACUCUCAGGGAUGGGUGGAUCAGGUGGUAUAGCAUCCUGGGUCAGGAUAGUGCUCUUUUGUUAGAAGGUAGGAGAGGUGAGAGCCCUAAGCAAAGCAAGGAUCUGCCAAAGUAAACCAUAAUGGAGUGAAGCAGCACAGAAAUCGCACAGGAGCUGGGCUAUAAAACUUGACAAUGAGCUAUACAUGGGCAGACACACAAUCUAGCUCACUGCUAUGACCCCACCGCCUAACCCAGGGCUACUGAGUUGUUUACUAAUUGACUUGGUUAUUUGAUUUGAACAGAUGAAAGAAUGAAGGGGAAUAUGCAAAGCUAAGUCGUAUGGAAGUUCAAAAGUCUAUGCUAAACUAUAUUCACUAAAAUAAAAUGUCAUUAAAUAAGUAGUUCUAUAUAAAGUAAAACAGGCUGCUGCUUUUAAAUUUUAAUUAAGUUUUAAUUUUUUUUGCUUUCACUCACAAUUCUGCAUUUAGGAAAUUAUUCCAGGUAUCAUUUCAAACCAUCAUUAUGACUAUCCAUGUCUCUUAUGUGGUGAUUUAGAAUAUAGCAAGGUGAUGGGUGUGAAACUAAGCCUUUAUUGGAUAUUAAAAACCAUAAUGUUUAAUCAUGGGGCUUUUAAAUUUGCACAUACAUGGUAAACAUGUUACCCUUAUAAUUUUGUAGCUCAGUUGUACAGUGUUAUAGAGUAAGAAGACUCCUUUGGGAGGAGGAGGAUCAGAUACACAUUAGCACACGGAAUGAAAACUUGUGUCACCUCAUUUUCUAUUUUUCUAGUCCACCAAACUAUAUUGACAAUUCUGACUUUCCUAAGGAAAAUAUUUUACAUUUGGGGUAAAUGUCAGGUUUGUUUUGUUUCACUUUCUUAAAGGCCAACAGUUACCAAAGGCUAUGAUAUAUUGGUACUGUUCUACUAGGAAGAUAGUUUCUGGCUUUAUUCCAACACUCCAUUCAGUGCAUGGCUUUCCCAAGGGGACUGUUCUACUUUAUAAUUAUGCUGUUAUGUGCAACUGCAUUAGCCAGGUGCUAUGGGAUUUUUUUACUCCUUUCAUGAAUGCUAAGAUAGCUACUCCCACACGCAUAGGUUGCAUGUGUUUCUGAGUGCCAGUUUACACGUACAGUUUUAGAUUUUGUCCUUGACCUUCCUGUUCUAUUGAUGCUUUUUGCAUCAAUACAUUUUUCUUCCUGUGGUUUCUAGUUCUAGCUCUCUAUGUACCAAAGAUACUUAAUUUAAAUUUCUAACCCAUAUCUCUGUCCUGAAUACUCAGAUACGUAUACCUAAAUGUUUCUUGAAUAUCUCAACUUCUAUAUCCAACCGACAGCUGUGUUAUCAAGGUUUACAAAAAGAAACAGUAUUUUGUCUGUCUUCAUUCUUGGCACAGAGUUUAUAUAUACCCUUGGGGUUUCCUAAACGCUGUUAGCAAUGCUUGCGUGUCUUUUGUUAUGUUAAUGAGGUGACUUUGGGAAACCAGUCUGGCUUACCAGAUGAUGGGUGCUGGUUGCCAGGGGAACCAACCUCCAUCUGAUUAGAGGGUUUGAACUUUCAGUCUCCACCCCAAACCUGUACUUUCAGGGAGGGGAGGGGCCUGGAGGUUAAGUUCAAUCACAUAUGGCAAAUGAUUUAAUCAGUAAUCUUGAGAAACAAAGCCUCCAUAAAAACCCAACGGACUGGCUUCAGAGAGUUUCCAGGCUGUUGAGCAUGUGGAGAUUUGGAUAAAAUGCUACAACUUGAGAAAAUGGAAGCUCCACAUCCCUUUCUCCAUCCUUGACUUAUCUUUUCCUUCUGGCCGUUCAUCGGUAUCCUUUAUAAUAAACCAGUGGUCUAGUAAGUAAAUGUUUUUCCAAGUUCUGUGAGCUGCUCUAACAAAUUGAACACCACGUGGGGGUUGCUGUGUUAGAGUAGGCAGUUAGUUAGGUUGUAGAACAGGAGGCAUGGAGGCCAGCAAAGAGGCAACCAUGGCCAACAUGGGAAAGUCAGAGCCUGUCCUGGCAGCACUCCAAAACAAAACCACCAGAAACUGGAUUGAACCUGGCAGGCCCAAGAUAGCUGACAAAGUAGACCAAAGUUCACAUUAUUCCUUCAUUAUACUGUAUUAUCAUUCUAAAAUCUCCUCUCUAAGAGUGCCAUGGUGGGAAACCUCUGACCAAAUAAUGAAAAAAAAUGUAUAACCCCCAUUCCUGAAGAGACUAUCCUUCUUCCAAAAACUCCCCUCCUCAAGUAAUGAAUAUUGCAUCCACUUUAUUAACAGCUGUCAAUAAAAGAUAGAAAUGGAAACCCCAGGGGGUACACUUCUCCCUUGAACUCACCUGCUCUCACAUCUUGGAAGUGUACUCUCCCUUUAAUAAACUUUCUUGCUUGCAUUGCUUCCUUGCUAUGCUGUGUAUGUCCUUGAAUUCUUUCUUGUGAGGAUGAGACCAAAAGCCUCCAGUGAUAUCUUUUUGAUGGGUUAGAUGAGGCUUCCCCAGUUUACCUGGCAACAGUUGCAACCUCCAACGUACAGCCUGUUGGUCAGAGAACUAGUUGACAAUCUGUACAUGGGAAUUGAUGUCUGAAGUGGGUGGGGGGAGGGCAGCCUUCUGAGCGUGAGUCCUUAACCUGUGGGAUUGGAUGGCUAACUCCAGAUCCACAGUGUCAGAAUGGAGUUAAAUCUGUGGGACUCUUUGUCAGUGUCCAUGGAGAAUUGAAUUAAUUGCUUGAUGGUGUGGAAAAAACACACAUACUGCAGAGCUCAAAACACAAUAUAUUAGAAUCUUAACACAUAAUAUCUUCCCUCUUUUUAUGUUUUCACAACAUGGCCUUUUACCGUAUCCUUAUUUCAGUCAAUGUCAUCUUUAUGUAGCUACCUAAGACUAUAAUCUAAAUCAAAACUCCAACUUCUUUAUAUCUUACAAAUAAUUAAUUCACUCUCAUUAACGUCUUUAGGAUCAGUCCUUCUUUCUUUCCCUAUAUCACUGCCUUGCUUCAGGGCCUCUUAAUAUUUUGUUUAUUUUACUGCAAUAGUCUCCAAAAUAUUCAGCCCACCUCCAGUCUGGCUUUUUUUCCGAUCAAUUUUUUUGUACUUUAUCCAUCCACAGUGAUCUUUCUAAAGCAUAAACAUUGGGUUUUAAAUUUGUCUAGCAUUCUUUUGGUACAGUAAGUUCCACGAGUUUAACAUGUUUGAUUCAACUUUGUAUCUCUAACGUCUAGGUGAAUGCUGGAUAUAGGAUAGAUUUACUAAUUCACUCAUUUAUCCAUUCAUUCACUUUCUAUUAGCAUCUUCGGUGAUCCAGGGACUGUUAAAUGUUCUGGGUAUUUAGAUGUACACAAGACAGACAAAUCCUCUGUCCUAUGGGAGAAAAAUGUGUGCUAUGAUAGAAAAUAAACAGAAGUGGGUAUUUUAUAGUUAUCAGAGAAGUCCUCUCCAUGGAUAUAUCACUGGGGUUGGAAUCUUAAGGGUAAGAAGGAUUCAGAAACAAAAAGGAACAGCAUGUCUGGAACAGGAUAGGCUAAAAAGAAAUUGCUGUGAGGUAAGAUUGUCCAGCUGAGAUAAAGCCAGAAGAUGGAAGUUGUCCAUAUACUUUCCUCACUGCCUGAGUGAAUAUAAAAAAGAAGAAGACUCCUCUGAGCUUCAGACUUGGGAUCCAAUUUCCUUUAAUAUAGCAUUUGCCAAAUUUGCCUGGUGAUAAAAAUGACCUCAGACCCUACUCUGACAGAUAUUUUUCUAGAGUGAUGAUUCUUCAACUUGCUAAUCAUGAGUCUCAUUGGUGAUGAUGGUUAAUCAAAUCAGAUCCUUGAUGUUACCCUUGACCUACUGCAGACAAAGGUCUAGGAGAUGAUCCUGGGAAUCUUCAUGUUUACUUGGAUCCCCAGAAGAUCCUAACAAUCAAUGACACUUGGGAAACCUUGCCCCGGAGGCUGUGUGCAAACAGUAGAUCCUGUAGACUGGGGCAGAGAAGCUCAGCUGAAACCUCUCCAGUACUGGAAGGCUCACUUACCACUCUCAGAGGUGAUAUUGAAUACCUAAGAAACAGAACUAAAAAUCUAUUUGAACUAAAAGGAAAAUUUAUUAAGAUGGCUGGCUACAAAAAAAUUCAGGCUUUCCUUUUAUACUAGUAUAACAGGAUGUUAAGUUGGAAGCUUUGACUGAACUCCAAGAUACCAUGUGCUAUGAGUCAGAUUAACAAGCUGAAAUUUCAAAGAACAUGUCUGUGAACCUACUGGAUGAGUCAUACACAAGGAUCUAAAAUGGAAGUGAUCCAAGUCAGAGAAGAGAAGAGUGAAAGAGAUGAGUGUCUGAGGAGCGGUUGGCUUCCCUGGGUAGGCUGCUUGACAGAUAGGGGGUUUGUGGACAAUAGAACUCUUCUGAUAAUUUCGUGGCCCUGGACCUGAUGGAACUCGUGCCCUGUUUCCUAUCUGCAACCCUGAGGGUCCCCUAGGUCUGUGAGAAUCAGAGGUUAGAAGAUGGAUGGUUGUUUGGCAUAUCAAAGACCAAGAUGACUUGGGCAGCUCUACUGGAAUUCCUGUGCCUUCAAAGUUCCAUGGAGGAAUUGAAUAAUUUCCCCAUGCCUACCCAGAAGGCCAAGUGAAAAAAGAGAGAGAGCUGCUGUUGGAUACUGAAGGGGCCUAAAAGUUAUGAAAAGAGGCUACCACAUGGGACAGUUGUGUGAAAUAACUUUGGAAGAAACUACAGUUUAGGACCAGAAAGAACUGUACAUUUUAGUUCUGAUCAAGUAGGCAAAAGCCAUCAGCCAGUGACCAGACAACCCCCUCAUAAUUAAGUAAAUUCAUUUUUUUUUUGUACACAGAACGUGCACUUGAAAUGAAAAUUAAGAAUUAGUAAAUAUUUUAUAUUUAACUCUUGGGUUAGUGGCCUGAGGGAUUCAUAUCAGCAUGUAUGAAAGAACUAAUAAAGACUGAAGAUAAAAACAUAAAGGACAAUUAACAGAACAAAUCUCAGAGAAAGGCUGGGAGAGAUUACGGUAUUUUGGGAAGGGGUGCAUAGCCUUGACUAGAAGGGGGAUACUUUUUUUUUCAAGAAUAAGGUCAAAAUUAGAGUUUUUCAAAUUGAGAUUUCAGAUCAUAUAAACUUUACCAUUUCAAUAAAGAAGAAAAAUUCUACAGGUUGUAAAAGAAGUGGCUGGUUUGGGGAAGUUACUUUUUACUCUAUGAGUUUGCCAAAUUCCCUGCAAAUGGUACCAGGUAGGUGGUACUUAGGACCAUGUGAAUAGGAGUGAAAAUUAAGGCUUGCACUAUAUUUCAUUUCAAAUAUAAUAAUAUUUAAUAAGCACACAGUAUACCAGAGAACAAACAAUAGCCAUUUCACUUCCUGCUUAAGUUUCAAUAACUUGCAUUUGAUGCUUUUGUUUGUUUCUAAGAGUCAGUGUAAUCCAAUUGUUUCCCUUCUCCUCAGGAUCUCCCAAAUAUAAAUUCUUUUCCUUUUUCUUCCAUUGCUUAGAGUUUAGUUGCUUCCUUUUGUCUGUCUCAAGGCAUUUGUUCAAAUGUAGUCCAAGAAAAAACAAACUGUGGCAUGAUCUUUUUAUCUAAAGCAGAAUUAAUCAACUAAAUACACUGUUUGCUAAAUAUUUUUUUCCUUAGAUUGAGGAAAACUUUUCCUUUAAGUAAAUAUACUAUCUCCCAAUUUUGAGCUGAUAGGAGAUUUUUGAAAUAAAAAAAUGGAUUUUUUUUUACAUAGCCAUUUUAUUUAACUUUUGUAAAACUGAAUUGAGAUCCCAAAUUCAGUGUAAAGAUUCAAACAUGUCUGGAUGGUUACUGGGACAGGAUGUAGAAGUCUAACAGCAUCCCAAGAAGGCUGUAAAAUCCUUGUCCAACACUGAGACCCCCAAUUGCAUUGUGCCUGGCUCAUAGAAUUUUCUCCAUAGAUAUUUGUUGAAUCAAUAGGUUAAUGGCAGGAUGGAUGAGUGUAUGGAUAAAAGAGAAAGCACUUAUUGCGAAUGAUAGACAGGAGUAGAAAUGACUAUGAAAUCCAUUUCUGGAGUAGCAGAAGGUGGAGCAUUCUAGUGAGCAAAAGAUCUGUCCCUGAUAUUUGUUUCCCAUCCCAAGUGGCUGCACUGAAUUCAUGUCCAAAUCCAGAAGAUAUCAGGGAGCUGUGAAUGAUGACUGUAAGAGUGGUUUCAUUAAACUUCAGUGAAACUUGAACACAAGCAGCAGUGCUGAAAACACUAUCAAUCAAAACUUCUUCCCCACAUUACAACAAAGCACAGUGAAAUUUUGAGAGACUGUCCCUGCAGCAGUAGGUUUAUUCUUGACCACUUGUAAUGCAUCUUCUGGGAGUCACAGCAGUGUAAUUGAGGGACAUUUGACAUGUGGUGAUGGCCUGCACUGACAAGUGUUGGAGGUAAUAGCCAAUAUCAUUUGAGUUUUUCUGUUAAUGUGACUUAAUUACAGAGCCACGAUCAGGAUCCUGAACUGAAAGUACAUGCUUCUUUGACUUCUACACCCUAGGUAUCUUUCUUGCUCCACCCUAGUCCUGGAUUUGUUUAAUUAAUAGCCAUUAGUUCAUUAUAACUAGAGAAUCCUAGAUAAAAAGAAAUACUUCAGCAUCUUUCAUAUCCAUUGAUGAAGUCUCUCAACAAGCAAAUAUGCAAAAAGGCAAAGCUACCAAUACUGACCCUAGGUAAUUGCUUUUAGUGGAAAAUGACUUGGUAUAUAUAAAGUCUACAUCCUUACACAUAUUAAAUAUUGCAAUUUUUACCCAACUUCCUUACACAUUGAUUGGGGUCCUCCCUAGGAGUAACUAGACAGAUAGAUAAUUAGGGUAUAAUCAUUGCCCUUGGGAGCCUAACAUUGAUUUAUUAUAGCAGGAUUUUUCCCCCUGAGCAAUGGUAAUAAAUAUAAGAUGACUAGUCUCCAUUCUUUUAGUUCAUUUUAUGUCUAAGCAGGAAAUUUUUAAAAUUUGAAAACCUUUCAAUUGGCGUAUGAUGUAUACCACACUGACAGGCAAACUGGUGUGCUUGGAGCACCACUCAGAAAAGCUGUUUUCUUUCUAUAGAGAAUGAUGUCAAAUAGGUAGGACCAAUUCUGGUGAAUGUAGGCUGGUGUGGGACCUAAUUUUAAAAAUAGAAAUGUCCUGACUAAUUUGUUAUGUUGGCAACAGAUCUAAGGACUACAGACAAAUACUUACGAAGAUUUGAGAAAAUGAAGACAAGCAAAGACAGAUUUGUCUUCACCAUCGUAGUUAAAAUAAAUCCUUCAUUCAGUUAGUACUGCAAAGAAAUUUCAUUUAGAUUUUAACUUUUUGAUAUAUAAUUCACAAAGGGAAUUUGUCUCACUUUAAAAAUAACUCUUCAGAUAUCAAACAAUAGAAUAAAUGUUUUUUACACUAGGAAAAUAUUUGAGAUUUUUCUGACAAUGCCCACUGUUCUAGUAAAAAGAGUAAGCAAGAGAGAGCGAAAGAGAAGCAAAAAACAAAGCAAAACAAAUACUUUGUCCUCUAGAGUUUUCCUAACAAAAGCCUUGCAUUUGUCUCUGUGGAAACAGUGUACUGGGCAGUUUUGCCAACCAUAUGUUGUCAGAAUGUAACCUUUUUUUUCUGAAGGUUAUAUGCUUCUAUUUAUUUCAUUAGUCUCUAAUGAGGACAAGUUCCAUACCAAAAGUUUAAAAUUGUUGGUGAAUUGACCAAUCUAUUAUAAGAAAAUUACCCAUAGUAUUCUCAAUGAUCUGACCUGCAAUGGUAGACCUGAGUGUUAAGGAACAGAGAUACUUUGCCACGUUGUGGACGUAUGCAGUCCCCAUAGGGUGCAAUGAGGAAGGGCAUUUUCAUAGCUUGAGCAAGUUCAAGAUGACUUCCAAAGGAGGUGAAGAUCCAGCCACCGAAGGAGAAAGAAAAGAAAGAAAGAGUAAGAGGAUAAGAGAAUUAACAAAGGGGAAAGGCAGGAAGGGAUGAGGGAAAGGAAGAGCAAAGUAAAUUUUUUCAUUCAAUAUUUCAGCCCAGAUUUGAGUUAACAUAGUAUGCUAGAGCUGGCUAAUACUGGUUUUCAGAGCUAUUGUGUGGAUCUCUUCCCAACUCUGUGUGCAGUGAUCUCAUGCAGGUAGCUUCAAAUAAGAUUACAGUGAAAGUAUUUACAUGCAAAAAUAAGUAAAUGUUACAAAUCAGGGUAUCUUCUCCUCUGGAGAGCUAGUUGUUAAACAUUUACCAAUUUGCUCCAGUUGACCUGAAAAGCCUCAGGGACCAGUGUGGUAAAAGAAAAGCAAUGUAACAAAAUAGAAACAACUCAUGAGCCAGGAUGGAGGCAUCAAGGGGGAGGGAAAGAGAGAGACUGGGUGAUUGAGAUAAUAAUUUAAUCACCUGGGUGAUCAUGCCUACUGGAAAACACACCAUAGAGUUGAGCCCAGUUACUUAGAUGAUUGGGAAGAGCACGAGCUGUUUUCUCCGGUGUGACAUCACUAGUGUAUGACCCAGGAAGACACUAGAAAGAAAGGAGGUAAACUUCCUUGGGGUUUCCUGGAUUGGCAGGAGCAGUCCAUUUUUUAUGGUAUUGAAUAUGAUUUGGAGGUAAAACCUAAUUAAAAUGUGAUUUACACUGGGAACAAAAUGAGGUAGAUAUAGGCACUUUUUAUGAAGAAUUGAGGAAGAUUAGGAGCUUUUAAAUCUUUUGAUUAAAAUCUAUUAGCAACGUUGCUCAGUAUAGCCAUCUCUCUGAAGUUCCUAGAAUGUGCCAGGUACUGGCUUAAUUACUUUAUAUAUAUAUUAUCUGAUUUGAUAUUUGUGGCAAUCACAUCAGGUAAAUUGUCAUUUUACAAAUAAACUAACUAAAAUUUAGAGGUGUGAAAUCAUUUGCUUAGGUUCUGGUCCAGACUUUAAGUUUUCAUCUUUUUUAGUGUGAUUUGUUGAGCCAUUCCAGGAGUUGCAAAAUCUAUUUGAAACGCAAAAUUCUGGAUAAAAUUCAGUAACAAAGGAGUAAUUUUCAAGUAAGAGAAGGAUCCAGUGUGCUUGAUAUUUUUGUUUUUAUAAUUGUGGUCUCUAUUGGUCUCUC